UACGAAGGUGGCGAGCGUUACUCGGAAUUACUAGGCGUAAAGGGCAGGUAGGUGGUUUGGUAAGUCUGUUGUGAAAGCUCUUGGCUUAACCGAGAGAGGUCAAUGGAUACUGCCAGGCUUGAGUAUGGGAGAGGGUACUGGAAUUCCCGGUGUAGCGGUGAAAUGCGCAGAGAUCGGGAGGAACACCGAUGGCGAAAGCAGGUACCUGGACCAUUACUGACACUCAGCUGCGAAAGCUAGGGGAGCAAACAGG
rnacentral:rRNA from 1 species